rnacentral:rRNA from 1 species
UACGAAGGGGGCUAGCGUUGUUCGGAAUUACUGGGCGUAAAGCGCACGUAGGCGGAUAUUUAAGUCAGGGGUGAAAUCCCAGAGCUCAACUCUGGAACUGCCUUUGAUACUGGGUAUCUCGAGUAUGGAAGAGGUGAGUGGAAUUCCGAGUGUAGAGGUGAAAUUCGUAGAUAUUCGGAGGAACACCAGUGGCGAAGGCGGCUCACUGGUCCAUUACUGACGCUGAGGCGCGAAAGCGUGGGGAGCAAACAGG